rnacentral:rRNA from 1 species
GAUGAACGCUGGCGGCGUGCUUAACACAUGCAAGUCGAACGGUGAAGCAGGAGCUUGCUCCUGUGGAUCAGUGGCGAACGGGUGAGUAACACGUGAGCAAUCUGCCCUGGACUCUGGGAUAGGCGUUGGAAACGACGUCUAAUACCGGAUACGACCUUCGGAGGCAUCUCCUGGGGGUGGAAAGAAUUUCGGUCAAGGAUGGACUCGCGGCCUAUCAGCUAGUUGGUGAGGUAAUGGCUCACCAAGGCGACGACGGGUAGCCGGCCUGAGAGGGUGACCGGCCACACUGGGACUGAGACACGGCCCAGACUCCUACGGGAGGCAGCAGUGGGGAAUAUUGCACAAUGGGCGAAAGCCUGAUGCAGCAACGCCGCGUGAGGGACGACGGCCUUCGGGUUGUAAACCUCUUUUAGUAGGGAAGAAGCGAAAGUGACGGUACCUGCAGAAAAAGCACCGGCUAACUACGUGCCAGCCGCCGCAGUAAGAC